ensembl:snRNA U6 U6 spliceosomal RNA
UUCUUAGUUUGGCGGUAGUAUACUAAAAUUGCAAGGAUACAGAGAGGAUUAGCAUGGCCACUUCCCAAGGUUGACAAACAAAUUCAUGAAGCGUUCCGUAUUUUU